ACAAUUACAACCAUAUGGAUGUAAAGUUAUAUUUUUGCCCUGGCAAAAGUUGAGGGGAAUGUAUAAAUAUAAUGAAUCACAUGGUAAAAGAAAGUAUUAAGCAUAGACAUGAGGAUUCUCCAAGAGGUAGGCUUCAACAACUUUGUAUAUUCCUAGAGCUUUGUCCUUGCCAUCCUUAAUGGCUUCUUCUUCUAUGGUAAAAUCUCCGAUAGUAAUAUAAUUGCUUGUGAUCUUGCAAAUUGAGCCUCCAUCACUUGCUGCCUCAAACUUGACCUCAUAAGCAAUAGAAUCAAGCUUGUCCCCCAGAGGAUCUCCCUCAAUCAGAGUAUACUUGCACACAAGAUUGUCUUUAUCUAGCUCUUCAAUCCGAUUCUUCACAUAUUUCAAGUCGCUUGCUUCAGUGAAGUUGACUUGUUCAAUGGUCCCAGUCCCUUCACUACCUUGGAUUACAUCCACGCUUUUGAUGAAUUGGGGUAAGAGCUUUGGAAUCAAAAUGUUGGAGUCGAGAAUUAAGGCCUUGAACAUACGUGAUGGGGCAACUGGAGAAGUGUAUUCUUGUGUGAAGGUAGAGACAACCAUGGCUUAUGAUCCUUACAACUUGAUUA
rnacentral:misc_RNA from 1 species